UUUUUAUUUAGCUAUUUAGAUAUUAUAUAUACGGGUUGUCUAAGUAAUUAUUUUGAAGCCAAUCCUCGCUGCUAUUUUGUUAGGAAAGCCGAUUAUAUUUACUAAUUACUGGAUAUACAAAUUAAUAUAAUUUAUGUAUUAAAUGCUAUGCAAGGGUGAAUUUAUAACCUAAAAGUAUAGUACGCAAAUCCAUGAUCUUUCUAAAAAACUAGGUAGUGUAUACAUAUGUACUUAUGAUAUAUAUUUUUAAAGUGUAUGUAUAUAUUUUUUAAUGAUGUACUUGAUCAAAUGCUAUGUUAUUUAUCUAGAGGAUCGGGAUCAAUUCUCACUUAAUACAUUUCUUUCUUUUCUCAAUGGUGCUUCUUGGAAGCAUCAUCUUAUUCAUAAGUUACUUGGAAGAUCAAGUCGAACAUGUGAAGUAGAUAUCUCCAAAUGUUUGAUAUUGCAUGUACAAUUCUAAAUCCACAUCUCGAUUAUAUUCCUAAUUAUGAGUACUUAAAUUAAACCAAAAUAUCUUGAUUUAAGACUUUUCGUAGAUCAAUCCAGUGUUUUGAAACUUAUCGAUAUGUUUGGCACUCAAUAAAUUCGGAUGAGUUUUUGAGCAAGAAAUCACAUCAUGAACGGUUGCAAUUUUUUUAAUAUUAAUGAUAUAGUUUACUUUUUCUAAGCAGACAUGUUUAUCACUUAUUAAUCUCCCAUAAUUAAAGAAACGCAUACGACACUUCACUUGAGAUUACCCUUAAUAAGAAAAAUUAAUUGUUAAUGGUAAGAGGAAAUUUCGUAUAAGCAGAUACAUAUAUAAUUAGAAUAACAUUAUUGAUUUGGUCUUUCAAAAUAUACGUCAUUAACCUAAUAAAUUCAUUGACCACGUUGCAUGGAUCUUUAAAAGAUAAUAGUAGUAAUUAAUUAUGAUGACGGCCAAAACAAAAAUUUAUAACAUGAACUAUUAGCAGAAUAUAUGCGCAAAUUUAUAUCAUUUCAUUAUAACAAAAAUUAUGGCGAUAAAUUUUCUUUUUAGCCGUAUUGGUUACUGUUGUAAAAAUAUUUUAGGGCUAAUUGAGUUAAAUCAUUGGGUCCAGAAUAGCUAAAAUCUUUAAUGAUAUUUAUAUAGAAUAUAAUAUUGAUUAUAAGUUUUUAUAGUUGUAAUUGUUGACAAAUAUAAUAUAGCGAUAAUUAUAUUAUUUUCAUAAAAUUCUUUAUUUAUUGUAGUGCAUCCACUACUCUACAAUAGAAAAAAGGAAAAAAAAAAAAAAGACGAAGGAAUUUAAUUAUUACUCUUUCGGUUCCACUUUGUGCAACUAUUUCUGUUUGGAACGUCAAAUAGCUUUUUCUUUCAUUUAUAUUUUUAGUUGCCUCUUUAAUAUUUUGAAUCGUUAAUUAACAUCAUUUAUAAUACUUUUUUAAAGAUAUAAUUUUAAUUUUUUAAAACAAAAAUUUUAUGUUCAAAUUAACAUAAAAGUUAUUCACUUUCGUUGAAGGAGGUUUGAAAAUUUAAUGCAACUCCGCUUCUGAGUAAGUCCAUAUUUUAAACGGUGUAACAUAAAAUGAAACAGAGAAUAAGAAGGAUGAUUAAUGAGGAAUGGGUUUAUAAUAAAUUGAUGAGUUGUAUGAAAAUGAUAAGUAGGGUUAGGUCAAGUUUGGGUGUUGAAUUAAUUAUCUCCAAUUAAUUGCAUGAACCUACGAAAAAAGACCCAUGCACACGCAUUAUUGCAUUUGCAUGCAAUGUAUGUACUUAUUAGUAUAUCUUAAAUUCUAAUAAUUAAUUUUAUGAAACUUUCUUUUAAUAUAUGCAAGUCAUGACUUGUUAUAAUACAAUGCUUAGUCAACUAACUCUGGGUCAACACGCCAUCUCCAUGUCCUAAUAUAAUGAACUUCCUUAUGUUUGAUUAUAAGUUUCUCAUUAUUAAUCCUUUCUUUUACUUCUCUUUUGUCUUCACUUUUAUAUUUAAUUCGUAAAAAUAUAUUAUCACCAAUUCACCAUAGUCCAUCGGAUGUAGUGCAGUGAAUGAGACUAUUUCCUUAACAAGAGGUCUCGAGUUAUGUAUGAAUUUUUUUUUGAUAGGGAGCGCUUCCCCCGAAUAAGACCCUACACGGCGUGAAAAUCUGGGUGGGAAACUAAAAGAAAAAUUCCUAAGAAUAAUAAAAAUAUUAUUCACCUUUACUUUUUUAUUUUUUAUUUUUUUUAAAUAUAGGACUAAUUAGAUUCAAGUAUAAUUGUUUACAAAAUGAUUUCAAAUUAAAGAACAUGUUUAGAUUUCUGUUUGUUUGUUUCUUUUUCUUAAGAAGUUGUGUGCAUGUAUAUCGAAAUUCGAAGCGGAUGAAAUAGUUAAUUUUACCUUUUAAAUUGUACUUUUUCUGGAAUUUUUUUUGAUUUAAAAAACUUAGGAGAUAUCAAUAUUCAAAAUUUCAAAUCAUCCAUCAUUUUGGACGUAUUUCUUACGUUAAUAGUUAUUCAAUCCGUAAUUCUCAAACAAUUAUUGGGCUUCCGUUUGAUGACUUCUAUUUUAUUGUUUACUUUACUCUCUUUAUAAGCUAACUGAUGUACAAGGUUGUCAUUUCAUAUAAGAUGAAGUGUAUGCUGGGAAAUUAUUAGAAAUAACGAAAAUUCUUAUAGCUUGAGACGUGAUAAAAGUAAAUCGCACAACAUUUAACAAAUUCGUCUUUAUGAACUAAAACAAUAAAAUUUAAAUUGUGUUGAAGGGCCCAUUAAAAAAAUCCCAAAUCACUUUCUACAAUGAAUUUUCUCUCUAUAGUAUAUUAUCAUCACUCUAAGCCAUGACGUGUGAUUAAAUGUAGCGGGAUUCAAUUCAUCCACUUCAAUUCGCAUUAGAACUUCAAUUAAAUUUGAAUCAUGCAUUGCAGGGCCUACUUGAGGUGGCGCUCCUAACAAAAUUUUCUCCAUACACAAACUCGGAUACAAACUUCUAAUUAAGAAUAAAGCAGCCUUAUAAUUACUGCACUACAGCCCAUAUUGAUAUCACCCAUACAUUACUAAGACAAUAUUUUAGAAAACAAACCUAAGAAAAAAAAACAUGUCAUUAUUUUUGAAAUAGAGUAUUCUCUCAAAAGAACAUUAUUUUUAGGGAUAAGAUACAAUUAUCCCCCUAGAUUGCUAUGACCGAAAUCCCAGAAGACAUACUUUAACUAAACUAAGGUCCUAUUACCCCCUCGAACUCAAUUUUUUUUUGUAAUUUUAUACAUCUUUUGACUUACGUGACACACUCCGUGACUCCGCACAGUUGAGGCGCGUAAAAGAUGUUUGGAUGCCACGUAAGCCAAAGAGGUGUAUAAAAUUACAAAAAAAUUGAGUUCGAGAGGAUAAUAGGAACUUUGUUUAGUUAAUGUGUGUCUCUGAAAUUUCGAUCAUAGUCUAAGGGGAUACUUGUACCAUGUCCCAUAUUUUUAUAAGUAUAUUUUCUUUAGUAAGAUUUGUCCACAUUGUGGUGGCAAUUUUUAAUGAAAGUGGACAAAAUAACGAUCAACUUAUGGUAAACCAUAUUCUACUAUUCUAGAGGGCAAUAAUAUUACUCACUCCGUCUACUUUACGUAACAACAUUUUGCCUUCACAUAAAAUUUAAAAAGAAUAAAAAAUUUAAAAUUACGUAUUUUAGAUAUUUAUAUAAUUAUAAAUUAAAAGAUAAUUUUAAAAUUAAAUUAUUUUUAAUUAUAAAAAGAUUGAAAUUUAUUUUUAAUUAUAAAAAGUGGGUAAUUGAUAAUCCCCUCAAAUUCAUAUAAUAAUAGAUACUUAACUUUAUAUUGCCGUUUGCCGAACAUGAUUUUAUUAAUAUUGCCGAUCGCCGAACGUAUUCAUCGUAAAACCUUUUGUUUUAUUCUAUCUGUUCCAAUUUAUAUAUACAAUAUUUUUCAAAUUUUGAGAGUUAAACAAACUUUUUUUUAACCACAAUCUUCAUUAUUGAUAUAUUUUAAAUUGACAAGUAUCGUAAUUUAUAUUACUUGUUAUAUAGUUUUCAAAUAUGUAAAUUUUAUUAUAAAUAUAUUUUAGUUUUAUAUUCAAAUUCAUGGUCGAAAUGAAAUUGAUUGUAAGAAUACGGAAAAUACCACGUAAAUUGAAAUCAAAGGAGUAUAUAGGAUAAAAAGAAGUCAACAUUAUAUUUCUUGAGGUCCUGAUGUUUAGGGUGUUUGAACAGUCUUUUUUGAAAAUAUUGUUUAGAGAAGUUCUCUAAUAAAAAUAAAACCAUAAUUAGAUAAUCAUUUUCCUCCUUUUUUUUUUUUUUGCCAACUUUGUGAUAUUCCUAGGGAAAAUCAUAAGUACCUCCGGCUUAUGCCCAAAAUUUUUGAGACACAUCUAAUUUUUACUAAGGUCCUGUUAUUCUCCGAAUUUAUUUUAUAUAUAAUUUUCUACCCAUUUUCAGUCUACGUGGUACUAUCUUGUGGGCCCAACGUGUGUUGAUAAUUUUUUCAAGAAUAGUGCACGUAGGCCGAAAAGGGGUAGAAAAUUAAUUAAAAAAUAAGUUGGGGGGGGGGAGUACUUAUGCAUUUUCCCAUAUUCCUAAAAACCUUUUGCAGUUUCUUAAGUCAAAAAAUAUUUAUUCUGCUUAAUAUUUUUUUAAAAAAAAAUAGAGUCAAAUAGACAAGAAGAUAUGUUCGAAAACUUUGGAUUUUCUUAAAUUUUGCCACCAACUUGGCUCUAGUUGCAACAUAGGACAUUAAGACGAUGAUGGGCGUGUUUGGUAUGAAGGAAAAUAUUUUCUGGAAAAUGUUUUUCAAUUUUCUUAUGUUUAGUUGGGUUAAAUGUUUUGGAAAAUGUUUUUCAAAUCAAUUCAUUUUUCUCAAAUUUAAGGAAAAUGACUUUCCUUCAAAACUUAAUGAAAACAUUUUCCAAAACUCUCUUCCAACUUUAAAUUACAAUUACUUUUUUGUUGAAAAAAUCAAUUUAUUUUGUCCCUAUCCUCAAACCAGCUCCACAACCACCCCCUUCCCCAAUUUUUUUUUUUAUAUAAUUUUAAAGCUUAUUUUUAAAUUCAAUUCCUUUACCCCGCCCUCACCCCUACCCCCACCCCUCACAAAAAAAUAUUAAAAAUUAUUUUAAAAGAUAUUUCUAAUUUCAAUUUUUUAUUUUUACCCCUUACCCUAUCAUCCCCCACCCCCUUCAAAAGAAAAAAUUUAAGUUUGUUUUUAAAAAAUAUUUUCAACUUACAAAAUUUCAAUAUUUCACCCCUACCUUCGAUCCCCCCCUCACCCACCCCCUACCACGCCCCACCCCAAAAAAAAUUUAAGUUUGUUUUUAAAAAAUAUUUUCAACUUACAAAAUUUCAAUAUUUCACCCCUACCUUCGAUCCCCCCCUCACCCACCCCCUACCACGCCCCACCCCAAAAAAAAUUUAAGUUUGUUUUUAAAAAAUAUUUUCAACUUACAAAAUUUCAAUAUUUCACCCCUACCUUCGAUCCCCCCCUCACCCACCCCCUACCACGCCCCACCCCAAAAAAAAUUUAAGUUUGUUUUUAAAAAAUAUUUUCAACUUACAAAAUUUCAAUAUUUCACCCCUACCUUCGAUCCCCCCCUCACCCACCCCCUACCACGCCCCACCCCAAAAAAAAUUUAAGUUUGUUUUUAAAAAAUAUUUUCAACUUACAAAAUUUCAAUAUUUCACCCCUACCUUCGAUCCCCCCCUCACCCACCCCCUACCACGCCCCACCCCAAAAAAAAUUUAAGUUUGUUUUUAAAAAAUAUUUUCAACUUACAAAAUUUCAAUAUUUCACCCCUACCUUCGAUCCCCCCCUCACCCACCCCCUACCACGCCCCACCCCAAAAAAAAUUUAAGUUUGUUUUUAAAAAAUAUUUUCAACUUACAAAAUUUCAAUAUUUCACCCCUACCUUCGAUCCCCCCCUCACCCACCCCCUACCACGCCCCACCCCAAAAAAAAUUUAAGUUUGUUUUUAAAAAAUAUUUUCAACUUACAAAAUUUCAAUAUUUCACCCCUACCUUCGAUCCCCCCCUCACCCACCCCCUACCACGCCCCACCCCAAAAAAAAUUUAAGUUUGUUUUUAAAAAAUAUUUUCAACUUACAAAAUUUCAAUAUUUCACCCCUACCUUCGAUCCCCCCCUCACCCACCCCCUACCACGCCCCACCCCAAAAAAAAUUUAAGUUUGUUUUUAAAAAAUAUUUUUCAAUUUCAAAUAUUAUUUUUCUACUCUAGUAAAAAUAAAAGAUAUUUUUCAAAAAUAUUUUUCAUUCAUAAAUCAAACACUAAAAAUCUUUUCCGGAAAAUAUUUUCACUCUCCAAUCAAACAUGAGUAAAUAAGUCAAAAAUCAACUUGUUUUCCAGAAAAACAUUUUCCAUGGAAAACAUUUUCCUUCAUACCAAACACACCCGAUAUUCUAAACCAUAAUUAAAAUGUCAUUCUACAUCGACCUUGUUCUAAACAUAAUUUUUUUUUAAAAAAAAUUGGCCCUUCUUAAAACAAAUUAAUUAAAUAGUAAAAGACAUGUAAAUUAAAAUAAUUUUUCAUUUGAAAAAAUAGGUCAGAAUAUUACAUUAUUAUAUCAUCCGUUUACACUUUACAUAUUUAUUGUUCAACUACUCUCCUCAGCUAAAUUGAAUUAUUCUCUUGUUCUAUUACUAAUUUCUAAAAUAUAAUAAUUUUUAAAAAUAGCACUUUACAUAUGACCAAAGUAUCCAAAUUACGUUCAUUAAUAGCAAAAUAUUAAAUUAGUAAAUUCAUGUCUUUUCCAAGUUUGAAAGCAAACAUUUGUUCUGAGCACAAAGUCUAGUCAUUUAUAGAAAAGUAUUCAAUAUCUAAUUCAAUAUAAAACUAGAAAAAAUAUAUAAAAAUUAAAUAAAAAUCAAACACCUUCCUAAUUACUUCCAUUAGAACUCUUAAUUGUGUUUCUAAUAAUAAUGUAUACUUUGGUUUCCACAUACACGCCUAAGAUUAAAUUUUAAUUCAUGUCGAAAAAUUCAACCAUAGUGUGUAAAACCUCGUUAACAAAAAUAUUUCAUACACAAGAUUCAAAUUCAAAAUCUUUAUUUGAAGGAGUCAGUAAUUUUAUACUCAAAACUUGAACUCGAAAUCUUUUUUUCUGAAAGAGUCAUGACUUUAUACUCAAAAUUUAAAUUCAAAAGUAACGAUUUCAUACUUAAGGCUCGAACUCAUAAUUGUUUGUAAGGAGUACUUAGGACCGCACCAUUUUUUUUAAAGCGGUUAUAUGCCUAAAAUUCCACGUAAAGGAAGCGGUCAACUAACUCCUUCGAAUUUGUCAUCACCUACUUCACCUUCCUUUUCCCUUUCUCUUUCAAAAAUCUAUAUAAUCUAAGCUACUUCACCCCAAUUUUUCAACAAAUAUUUCAAUUUUCUUGAUUCAAUCGUCACAAAUCCUAAGAAAACCAAUUCUUGCAAUAUUUUGGGACUUACCCAAGUUCUUGAAUUUGAGUUUUUACAGGACAAAAAAAAAACAGAGCACAAAUAUGAAUAAACUUUUAACAACUUUAUUAUUUUCAUCAAUCUUGAUUUCAACUCUAUUUUCUACUAGUUAUGGUCAGAAUCAAAAUUGCUCUGCUUUUGCAUUCAGAAAUAACCAAAUAUUUGCAACUUGUAAUGCUCUGCCUCUACUAAACUCUGUUCUUCAUUGGAGUUACCAUCCAGAUAACCAUACAGUUGAUCUUGCUUACAGACAUGGAGGUGUACCAAAUACAGAUUGGGUAGCUUGGGGUUUAAAUAUUGACGGAACAAGGAUGGUUGGUUCACAAUGUUUAGUUGCAUUUAGAAAUUCUAGUGGAGAAAUUCAUGCUUAUACUUCCCCUGUUUCUAGUUAUGGAACUCAGUUAGCAGAGGGGGCUUUGAGUUUCAAUGUUCCGAGAAUUGGAGCUGAGUAUUCGAAUAAUGAGUUUAUUAUUUUUGCAACUUUGGAACUUCCUGCUGGAAGGACUAGUUUUAAUCAAGCUUGGCAAAAUGGUGCUGUUUCUGGUCAGGCUUUGACUGCUCAUGUUCAGUCUGGUGAUAAUAUGAGGUCUUUUGGAAGUAUUGAUUUUGCUAAUGGAGAGUUAGGUGGUGGUGGUAGCUCAGUUACUUCUAGACAACGUAGAAGAAAUGUGAGUUUUCGCAUACCCUUUCUUUAUUUCGUUGGAAUUUAACUUAUAUAUACUGACAGUAGAUAUUGAUUAGAGUUGGUUUGGAUAAAAGGCAUGAAGAACUUACUCGCUGCUCCGGCUGCCUUCUUGGCAGGUGGAGCGCUUGUCAUCCUGACUUUUCUCUCUUCUCGGACACUCUUAUUGCCAUAGUUAUAGGAAAUGGGAGUAUUGAUUUUUAGACUAUCACUACUUUUUAAUCUAUUAGGGUUUGUUUGAUACGAGGGAUUAGGAUGGAUUUAUCUCAUGUUUGAUUGAGAUAAAAUCGUGGGAUAACUUGUUUUGUUUCCCAACCAAACGAGCCCUUAUAAUAUGUACAUAAAUUGUUUUAUUUUUCAUCUUGCUAGUCUCGCUUGUUAUAUGGACGGUGUCCUAUAGUUAUCUUUUAGGUAAAGGUGGAUGCGUAACCUAGUUUAAACUCAAUAUUUUCAAUACAUAACCUAUUAUCUCGAAAGUCCAAUUGAUUCAACCGUAAGUUGAACUCAUCAAGUUUAAAUUAUGGAAUUGCGUUCUAAUUUUAGGUAACGUGAUAUAAACAGCGCGAAAGCUACAUAUCUGUCCCCAAAUAAAUUGGGGUUGACUAUAUGAAUUCUCGCUGACCAUAUUACUCAUUUUUUGUAUCCACUACCCCCAACAAAAUAAUUAGAAGAAACAAAGAAUUUGACAUGUUUGAUAUCUUGAAAAUUUGGCAGGUUCAUGGAAUACUGAAUGCAGUGAGUUGGGGAGUGUUAAUGCCAAUGGGUGCAGUAUUUGCAAGGUACUUGAAGGUUUUCAAAGCAGCAAAUCCAGCUUGGUUUUAUAUACAUGUUGCUUGUCAAACUUCUGCCUAUAUUGUUGGUGUUGCUGGAUGGGGAACUGGUCUCAAACUUGGCAGUGAUUCUACCGGUAUCGAAUUCACUACUCACAGGAACAUUGGCAUCACUCUCUUUUGCCUCGGAACUCUUCAGGUAACCAUCAAAACGCAUUAACUCUAAAUCUUGAAUUCACUAAUACAUUAAUAUCUCACAAAUAUACAUUUGCCGGCUAUAAUUUUGGUGUACGUCUGAAAAAAUCCCUUUUGGGGGAUUUAGUACAUAGCCGACCCCUCAAACUUGUCCUCUUUUUUCAUUAAGACACAUGAACUAAGGGUUAUACACAUUUGAUAUAGUAAGUGCGACAGGUUCAACUGAAUUACCUGUUUUUACUUAUUUGACCGCAUUAACUAUAAAUCUUGAAUUCACUUAUGUAUACACUUGUCAACACAUAAAAGACCGGACCCUUAAAUAAAGAGCAACAAAUUUUCCCUUUUUUUGGCUUAAUACAUAGACGCCCCCUUCAAACUUGCCCGAUUUUUUUUCAUUUAGACCUGAACUAAGGAUUAUACCCGACCUUCAUUGUUACUAAUUUGUAUGAUUACAAACUUUGUAGGUAUUUGCUUUGCUUCUGAGGCCAAAGCCAGACCACAAGUACAGAUUAUACUGGAACAUCUACCACCAUGCUGUUGGAUACGCGGUAAUAAGUCUGGCCAUCACCAAUGUUUUCCAAGGAUUUGAUGCAUUGAAUGGACAGAAGAAUUGGAAGAGGGCUUACACUGGUGUGAUCAUAGCCAUAGGUGCCAUUGCUGUUUUAUUAGAAGCCUUUACUUGGUUCAUUGUCAUCAAAAGGAAAAAAACAGACUCUAACAAGCACACACAAAAUGGAACAAAUGGUACUGUUAAUCCUUAUGGAAAUGGGACUCAUCAACAGGCAUAAGUUAACUUAAAUAAUGUCACUUUGAACAUUUUUGUAUGUUUAUAUGUUUUUUGUUGUUUGGUCAGAUUUUGGUUCUUUUUUUCCUUCUUUUUAAUCUUUGCAGAUUGAUAUAUAUUCUUGUAUACAUCAUAUAUGUUGAGAGACCACCUAUUUGUGGUUUUAUUUAUUACUACUAGUAUCCUUUUUUCAUUCACUUUCAAUGUUUGAAUUUAAUUUCUGUACACUAGCAAUAUAACUUGCGAGAAGAGUAACUACUUGAGACAUGCUCAAGUUAAUAGCUUCGAAAUAUAUAAUAAUAAUAAUAAUAACCUACUAUAACUAUUUAAAGUUAUUCGAUAGUGUAAAUUUUUUGAUUAUUCGAUAGUAUAAUUUUUUUGUCACAAAAGUCCCGAAAACAGCCUCUAGCAGAAAAGUAAGAUAAGACUGCAUACAAUAGGCCCUUAUGGUUGGGCCCUUUAUCGGGCUGCCUUUUCGUCAUAAGCAAUCCACAAAAAAAAAGGUUAAAAGAAUUAAUAGUUUGCCAAGUGGCAUAUUGUCAUCAGGUUAGAAUAAGAGCAACUUUCACAUAUAACAAAUAUAACAAUCACAUUUGUAUGUUAUAGCUAUAGUUUGCAUAAUUGCGCUCCAUAGCAAACAUAAAGUUUGUUAUGACUAUUAAUAUGUAUAUUUCGCUAUACAUAUACAAAAGAAGCAAUUGUAUAAUCUGUUUCGGUAUACAUAUACAAAAGAAUCAAUCGUAUAAUUUGUGUUAGUAUAAAGUAAGAAAGAGAGAAAGACAAAAGAAAACUGGGCAGGGGAAGAUCGUAUUUGUAUAAUCAUCAUAAGUGUAUAGGAAGAAAAUAUAUGUAUUUGUGUUUAUAUAUACAAUUUUCUCUCGCUUUAUACAAAAACAAACGCAAUGUAUACAUUUGUGUUUGUAUAAAGUGAGAGAGGCGAGUGAGAUCGGGGAGAGUGACGAGCGAGAUCUGAGAGAGUGGCGAGCAAGAUCUGGGAGAGGGGAGAGAGGGGAAUGAAAAUAUAUAUACAAUUUUCUUUCGCUUUAUACAAACACAAACACAUUUUAUACAUUUGUGUUUGUAUAAAAGUGAGAGAGGCGAGGGACACUGCCCAGCGAGAACGAGAGUGGCGAGCGAGAUUCACCAGGGAGAGAGGUGAAAUAGAAACAGUUUGUUAUGGGGUACAAUUAAAUCAAACUAUGGAAAUUACAUUUAAUUUGAAUUAAUAAUUUGUUAUUAUAUACAAUUUUCCAUUAGGAAAACAUGAAUUGGGCCUUCUAGAAGUUGAGACUUAAAAAAUAAAUUACUCCCUCCAUUUCAAAUUAAUUGAAUUGUUGAGGUGUUUCACACCCUUUAAGAAAAGAAGAUUAAGACAUAAAUUAAGCAUAACUUUCCAUUUUACCCUUAUUAAUUAUUGUCAAAUUUCUGAUUAAAAUAACUAAACAUUAAUUAAUAACUAAUUCCAAUACUAACUAAUGAAGGGUAAAAUUAAAAGAACAUUCUAAUAAUAGUUUUGAAAAUUGAGCAAUUAAGUUAAUUUAAAAAAUAAAAAAUGUCUCAACAAUUCAAUUAAUAUGAAAUGGAUGGAGUAAAGAAGUGAAAUAGGAAGAGGCAAAGUUGAGAAGCACUAAUUACAAAUGCAAGCAAAGUCGUUCUCUAGAAGAAUGCUCCAUUAUUAGUCAAUACCUGAUUUGCCAAUUGUUUUUAAUCAAGUUGACCUAAUUAGUACGAAAUUAGCAGUACUUUUAUAUUCAGUUUGUUUUUGAAAGAGUUAAAAAGGGCAAAAACACGUUUAAGCUAUUCCACUUUAUUGAGUUUCAUACAUAACUUAUUGAGAGUAAAAGUUUUCUACUUGAACUAUCAUUCAAUGAUUAGGAAACACACCUAGAUGUUGACUAGACCAAAUGUUUGUCUAGAAAUGCUUCUUGCCGCAUCUGUCGAUAAAAUUUUCAUCUACCUAACAUAUAUAAUGACUCUCUUUGUUUGGCACGUUAAUUUUUUUAAUUGGCCUUUUUACAACCUUAAAUUCUCACCUUUCAAGUCGAAGAAAUCAAUGUCACGCCAAAAGAGACCACGGCUAAGAAGGUGGAGAAGAUGCUGGUGGAUGUCAUAGUUAAAAUAAAUUAAAUUAAAUUAUAUGGUAAUAGUUUUAACCUUUAACCUAAUAUUGAUUUAUUUAAAUUUGUCACGGUGAAAUUAUUUUUUCACAUGGAGUGUCACAUGAUAGUAUAUUUAAACAAAAAAGAAAUUACACACAUUAUUAGAAAUUAAUCGAGUUGUGUUUUGCUAACUAUUAAGUGAUAGUUCAGAUAGGAAACUCAUACUCAGUAAUUCAAGUAUAAAACUCAAAAAUUUGGAUAGUUAAGUGUUUAUAACUCUUAAAUAUUAAAAGGAACAAUUCAAACUCAACAGGACGAAUACUAUAUUUGUAUACUAAUAAUGUGUGUGAGUAAUUCGGUGGAGGACAAAAAGUAGAAAGUGAGGCAGAAAUUAAAAAUAAUUCGGAUAUGUAAAGAGUAUAUGCACAAAUGCUUCUUAUGCGGAGGUUUGAGUAUAGGAGAGGUUGACUAUGAAUGAACUUAGGAGAGGAGGAGGUAGAUCGAAAAAGUAUUGGAGAGAGGUAAUUAUUAGAUAGGACAAUUUCAAUUUAUCGAGAACAUGACCUUAGAUAAGAGGUUGUAAAGUACACAAAUUAGAGUGGAAGGUUAGCAGGUAAUAGCACGUUGUCUUACUUAUCUUUUCAUACUAGGAGUCGUACGUAAUAUUACUUUUGUAGUUUCAUGUCCUUUUAAUUAUGUUAGUAUUUGAUUUUCUUGUACUUCGAUAAUGUUAUGCUUAUGUUUCUUUCUUCUUCUUUUUUUUAAGAAUAUUUUGACAUGCUUUCUAUAAUAUUUUACCAUGAAUUCUUCAUUUUUCUUGAUUUACUUUAAAAUAUAUUUUUUUGAGACAAGGGUCUAUCAAAAAUAGUUUCUCUAUCUUUCAAGGUAAGGUUUAAGUAUGUUACAAGACAACAACUAAUGCAAGCAAUAAUAACUAAAAGAAAGAAACUCAAGUUCCUAUUAAAAAUAGAUUUUUCAUGUUUAGUUGAUCAAAAUGUGAUAUUUUCUCUUUAAAAACAAGUUUAGGAAAGUAUUUAUAACUAAUGCAUGACAAACAAUAGUAUUAGGAAUGCAAAGAUUUUUUGAUGCAUGCAUUAACAUAGUUAAAGACACAAUUGUUUCUUAAAACUUUUUUCACUUUCUUUUCACCUUAUUUUUGGAGUGUAUUUUUUAUAAAUGAAUUAGAGUAUUUAAAAAUUAUGCAAUACAUAUAUUUUUAAUUAAUAUACCAAAACAAAUGGUGUAUCAAAAAUAUUCUUUUCAUAACUAAUACCAAUAUUACUAAUGUCAACAUUACUAGUUCUUAUUCAACAAUAUUUUUAUACAUCCUACCAAACGACUUCGAAAUAUUUUAUUAAAUAACACAUAUAAAUACUUUUGAAUAAUAAUUUUUAUUUACUUAUCAAACACUAAAUAAUUAUUAUUAUUUCCCUAGAAAAGUUUUUAGAAAACAUUUUCAUUUGUACCAAUCACACUUUUUUCCCCCACUAGAUAUCACCCAUAUUAAAGUCAAACUAUUUUAACUUCGUACCACGACAUAAGACCCCAUUAAAAGAAGAGUAAAUUUCAGAAAUAACAACGAUAAUAAACAUAACACGACUCUAUAAAAAUAAUUUCAGUAAUUGUACUCUGUAACUAUAGUUUUGUUUGCUAUGUACGCUGCAGUUUGUAUAUUUCACUUUCCCAUUUGUAUAUGACCAAAAUAUCCAAAUUACGUUCAUUAAUAGCAAAAUAUUAAAUAAGUAAAUUCAAGACUUUUCCAAGUUUGAAAGCAAAGAUUUGUUCUGAGCACAAAGUCUAGUCAUUUAUAAAAAAGUAUUCAAUAUAAAACUAGAAAAAAUAUAAAAAAUAAAUAAAAAUCAAACACCUUCCUAGUUACUUCCAUUAGAACUCUUAAUUGUGUUUCUAGUAAUGUAUACUUUGGUUUCCACGUAUACGCCUAAGAUUCUUCUUUUACUUUUUUCCUCCAAUCUUCGAUAUAUAUAUUAAAUGAUUAAAUUUUGAUUUAUGUAGAAAAAUUCAACCAUAGUGUGUAAAACCAAGUCAACAAAAACAUUUCGUACUCAGGGUUCAAAUUAAAUUAUUAAUUUUUGAAGGAGUUAGUAUUUUCAUACUCAAAAAACUCGAACUCAAAAAUUUAUUUUUUCUGAAUGAGUCGUGAUUUCAUACUCAAAACUUGAAAAUAGCAAUUUCAUACUUGGAACUUGAAUUGACAAUUUUUUUAAGGAGUACUUACGACCGCACUAGUAUUUCUUUUCAGCGGUUAAAUGCCUAAAAUUCCACGUAAAGGAAGCGGUCAACUAACUCCUUCGAAUUUGUCAUCACCUUUCUUUCCAAAAUCUAUAUAAUCUAAUCCCCCUUACCCCAAUUUUUCAACAAAUAUUUCAAUUUUCUUGAUUCAAUCAUCCCAAAUCCCAAGAAAACCAAUUCUUGCAACAUUUUGGGACUUACCCAAGUUCUUGAAUUUGAGUUUUUGCUGAACAAAAAAAACAGAGCACAAUUAUGGAUAAACUUUUAACUUCAUUAUUUUCAUCAAUCUUGAUUUUAGGUCUAUUUUAUACUAGUUAUGGUCAGAAUCAAAAUUGCUCAGCUUUUGCAUUCAGAAAUAACCAGAUAUUUGCAACUUGUAAUGCUCUGCCUCUACUAAACUCUGUUCUUCACUGGAGUUACCAUCCAGAUAACCAUACAGUUGAUCUUGCUUACAGACAUGGAGGUGUACCAAAUACAGAUUGGGUAGCUUGGGGUUUAAAUAUUGAUGGAACAAGGAUGGUUGGUUCACAAUGUUUAGUUGCAUUUAGAAAUUCUAGUGGAGAAAUUCAUGCUUAUACUUCCCCUGUUUCUAGUUAUGGAACUCAGUUAGCAGAGGGGGCUUUGAGUUUCAAUGUUCCGAGAAUUGGAGCUGAGUAUUCGAAUAAUGAGUUUAUUAUUUUUGCAACUUUGGAACUUCCUGCUGGAAGGACUAGUUUUAAUCAAGCUUGGCAAAAUGGUGCUGUUUCUGGUCAGGCUUUGACUGCUCAUGUUCAGUCUGGUGAUAAUAUGAGGUCUUUUGGAAGUAUUGAUUUUGCUAAUGGAGAGUUAGGUGGUGGUGGUAGCUCAGUUACUUCUAGACAACGUAGAAGAAAUGUGAGUUUUCGCAUACCCUUUCUUUAUUUCGUUGAAAUUUAAUUUAUAUAUACUGACAGUAGGUAUCGAUUAGAGUUGGUUUGGAUAACAGGCAUCAAGCACUUGCUCGCUGCUCCGGCUGCCUUCUUGGCAGGUGGAGCGCUUGUCAUCCUGACUUUUCUCUCUUCUCGGGCGCUCUUAUUGCCAUACUUAUAAGAAAUGGGAGUAUUGAUUUUUACACUACUAGUGUUUUUUAAUCUGUUAGGGUUUGUUUGGUACGAGGGAUAAAGAGAUAAUUAAUCAUGAGAUUGAUUUUAGGAUGAGUUUAUUUGCGGGAUAACUUGUUUUCCAACCAAAUGAACCCUUAUAAUAUCAUAACCUAGUUUAAUAGACUCGAUUGAAUUCAUGCAUAACCUAUGAUCUCGAAGGUCCAAUUGAUUCAAUCGUAAGUUGAACUCAUCAAAUUUAAAUUGUGGAAUUGAAUUCUAAUUUUAGGUGAUGUGAUACAACGCGAAAACUACAUACAAAUUGGGGUCAACUAUAUGAAUCCUUGCUGACCAUAUUACUCAUUUUUGUAUACACUACCCCCAACAAAAUAAUUAGAAGCAACAAGGAAUUUGACAUGUUUGAUAUCUUGAAAAUUUGACAGGUUCAUGGAGUAUUGAAUGCAGUAAGUUGGGGAGUGUUAAUGCCAAUGGGAGCAGUAUUUGCAAGGUACUUGAAGGUUUUCAAAGCAGCGAAUCCAGCGUGGUUUUAUAUACAUGUUGCUUGUCAAACUUCUGCCUAUAUUGUUGGCAUUGCUGGAUGGGGAACUGGUCUCAAACUUGGCAGUGAUUCUACGGGUAUCGAAUUCACUACUCACAGGAACAUUGGCAUCACUCUCUUUUGCCUCGGAACUCUUCAGGUAACCAUCUAAACGGCAUUAACUAUAAAUCUUGAAUUCACUUAUGCAAGCACUUGUACACACAUAAAAAUACCGGUCCCUUAAAUAAAGAGCAACAAAAUAUCCCCCUUUUUGGCUUAAUACAUAGGCACCUCCCUCGUACUUGCCCCAUUUUUUUUCAUUUAGACACCUGAACUAAGGAUUAUACNNNNNNNNNNNNNNNNNNNNNNNNNNNNNNNNNNNNNNNNNNNNNNNNNNNNNNNNNNNNNNNNNNNNNNNNNNNNNNNNNNNNNNNNNNNNNNNNNNNNNNNNNNNNNNNNNNNNNNNNNNNNNNNNNNNNNNNNNNNNNNNNNNNNNNNNNNNNNNNNNNNNNNNNNNNNNNNNNNNNNNNNNNNNNNNNNNNNNNNNNNNNNNNNNNNNNNNNNNNNNNNNNNNNNNNNNNNNNNNNNNNNNNNNNNNNNNNNNNNNNNNNNNNNNNNNNNNNNNNNNNNNNNNNNNNNNNNNNNNNNNNNNNNNNNNNNNNNNNNNNNNNNNNNNNNNNNNNNNNNNNNNNNNNNNNNNNNNNNNNNNNNNNNNNNNNNNNNNNNNNNNNNNNNNNNNNNNNNNNNNNNNNNNNNNNNNNNNNNNNNNNNNNNNNNNNNNNNNNNNNNNNNNNNNNNNNNNNNNNNNNNNNNNNNNNNNNNNNNNNNNNNNNNNNNNNNNNNNNNNNNNNNNNNNNNNNNNNNNNNNNNNNNNNNNNNNNNNNNNNNNNNNNNNNNNNNNNNNNNNNNNNNNNNNNNNNNNNNNNNNNNNNNNNNNNNNNNNNNNNNNNNNNNNNNNNNNNNNNNNNNNNNNNNNNNNNNNNNNNNNNNNNNNNNNNNNNNNNNNNNNNNNNNNNNNNNNNNNNNNNNNNNNNNNNNNNNNNNNNNNNNNNNNNNNNNNNNNNNNNNNNNNNNNNNNNNNNNNNNNNNNNNNNNNNNNNNNNNNNNNNNNNNNNNNNNNNNNNNNNNNNNNNNNNNNNNNNNNNNNNNNNNNNNNNNNNNNNNNNNNNNNNNNNNNNNNNNNNNNNNNNNNNNNNNNNNNNNNNNNNNNNNNNNNNNNNNNNNNNNNNNNNNNNNNNNNNNNNNNNNNNNNNNNNNNNNNNNNNNNNNNNNNNNNNNNNNNNNNNNNNNNNNNNNNNNNNNNNNNNNNNNNNNNNNNNNNNNNNNNNNNNNNNNNNNNNNNNNNNNNNNNNNNNNNNNNNNNNNNNNNNNNNNNNNNNNNNNNNNNNNNNNNNNNNNNNNNNNNNNNNNNNNNNNNNNNNNNNNNNNNNNNNNNNNNNNNNNNNNNNNNNNNNNNNNNNNNNNNNNNNNNNNNNNNNNNNNNNNNNNNNNNNNNNNNNNNNNNNNNNNNNNNNNNNNNNNNNNNNNNNNNNNNNNNNNNNNNNNNNNNNNNNNNNNNNNNNNNNNNNNNNNNNNNNNNNNNNNNNNUAUAUACAAUUUUCUCUCGCUUUAUACAAACACAAACACAUUUUAUAUGUUUGUGUUUGUAUAAAAGCGAGAGGGGCGAGUGAGACUGCCCAGCGAAAACGAGAGUGGCGAGCGAGAUUCACCAGGGAGAGAGGCGAAAUAGCAACAGUUUGCUAUGGGGUACAAUUAAAUCAAACUAUGGUUAUAACAUUUAAUUUGAAUUAAUAGUUUGCUAUUAUAUACUAUUUUCCCUUAGAAGAACAUGAAUUAGGUCUUCUAGAAGUUGAGACUUAAAAAAUAAAUUACUCCCUCCAUUUCAAAUUAAUUGAAUUGUUGAGGUGUUUCACACCCUUUAAGAAAAGAAGAUUAAGAUAUAAAUUAGGCAUAACUUUCCAUUUUUACCCUUAUUAAUUAUUGUCAAAUUUGUGAUUAAAAUAACUAAACAUUAAUUAAUAACUAAUUCUAAUACUAACUAAUGAAGGGUAAAAUUGGAAGAACAUUCUAAUAAUAGCUUUGAAGAUUGAAUAAUUAAGUUAAUUUAAAAAAUAAAAAAUAUCUCAACAAUUCAAUUAAUAUGAAAUCGAGGGAGUAAAGAAGUGGAAUAGGAAGAGGCAAAGUUGAGAAGCACUAAUUGCAAAUGCAAGCAAAGUCGUUCUCUAGAAGAAUGCUCCAUUAUUAGUCAAUACCUGAUUUGCCAAUUUUUUUAAAAUCAAGUUGACCUAAUUAGUACGAAAUUAGCAGUACUUUUAUAUUCAGUUUGUUUUUGAAAGAGUUAAAAAGGUCAAAAACACGUUUUAAGCUAUUUCACUUUAUUGAGUUUUAUACAUAACGUAUUGAGAAUAAGAGUUUUCUAUCUGAACUAUCAUCUAAUGAUUAGGAAACACAUUUAGAUGUUGACUAGACCAAAUGUUUGUCUAGAAAUGCUUCUAGCCACAUCUGUCGAUAAAAUUUUCAUCUACCUAACAUAUAUAAUGACUCUCUUUGUUUGGCACGAUAAUUUUUUUAAUCGGCUUUUUUACAAUCUUAAAUUCUCACCUUUCAAGUCGAAGAAAUCAAUGUCACGCCAAAAGAGACCACGGCUAAGAAGGUGGAGAAGAUGAUGGUGGAUGUCAUAGUUAAAAUAAAUUAAAUUAAAUUAUAUGGUAAUAGUUUUAACCUUUAACCUUAACUUUUAACCUAAUAUUGAUUUAUUUAAAUUUGUCACGGUGAAAUUAUUUUUUCACGUGGAGUGUCACAUGAUUAUAUAUUUAGACAAAAAAGAGAUUACACACAUUAUUAGAAAUUAAUCGAGCUGUGUUUUGCUAACUAUUGAGUGAUAAUUCAGAUAGGAAACUCAUACUCAGUAAUUCAAGUAUAAAGCUCAAAAAUUUGGAUAGUUUAAGUGUUUAUAACUCUUAAAUAUUAAAAGGAACAAUUCAAACUCAACAGGACGAAUACUAUAUUUGUAUACUAAUAAUGUGUGUGAGUAACUCGGUGGAGGACAAAAAGUAGAAAGUGAGGUAGAAAUUAAAAAUAAUUCGGAUAUGUAAAGAGUAUAUGCACAAAUGCUUCUUAUGCGGAGGUGUGAGUAUAGGAGAGGUUGACUAUGAAUGAACUUAGGAGAGGAGGAGGUAGAUCGAAAAAGUAUUGGAGAGAGGUAAUUAUUAGAUAGGACAAUUUCAAUUUAUCGAGAACAUGACCUUAGAUAAGAGGUUGUAAAGUACACAAAUUAGAGUGGAAGGUUAGCAGGUAAUAGCACGUUGUCUUACUUAUCUUUUCAUACUAGGAGUCGUACGUAAUAUUACUUUUGUAGUUUCAUGUCCUUUUAAUUAUGUUAGUAUUUGAUUUUCUUGUACUUCGAUAAUGUUAUGCUUAUGUUUCUUUCUUCUUCUUUUUUUUAAGAAUAUUUUGACAUGCUUUCUAUAAUAUUUUACCAUGAAUUCUUCAUUUUUCUUGAUUUACUUUAAAAUAUAUUUUUUUGAGACAAGGGUCUAUCAAAAAUAGUUUCUCUAUCUUUCAAGGUAAGGUUAAAGUAUGUUACAGGACAACGACUAAUGCAAGCAAUAAUAACUAAAAGAAAGAAACUCAAGUUCCUAUUAAAAAUAGAUUUUUUCAUGUUUAGUUGAUCAAAAUGUGAUAUUUUCUCUUUAAAAACAAGUUUAGGAAAGUAUUUAUAACUAAUGCAUGACAAACAAUAGUAUUAGUAAUGCAAAGAUUUUUUUAUGCAUGCAUUAACCUAGUUAAAGACACAAUUGUUUCUUAAAACUUUUUUCACUUUCUUUUCACCUUAUUUUCGGAGUGUAUUUUUUAUAAAUGAAUUAGAGUAUUUUAAAAUGUAUAAAUUAUAGGAACCACAUAUUAUAAGUACUAAAUAACAUCCUAUCCCUUCUAGUUUUCUAUUUACCAAAAACCCCUUAAAAAUUAUGUUUGCGGAUACAUAGCGUUGUGCACGGGAUACAUUAGGUUUGAUACCUUUCACAUAGCGGGAUACAUAGCGUUGUGCACGGAAUACAUAGCGUUUGAUACAUUCCACAUAGCGGGAUACAUAGUGUUGUGCACGGGAUACAUAGGUAAACUAAGGGAUUUUUGAAAAUUUUGAAAUAAGUAGGGAUAAAUGGAUAUUAAGGUAAGUAAAAGAGUGUAGUUAAGUAAUUUGUCCUUUAAAAAUUAUGCAAUACAUAUAUUUUUAAUUAAUAUACCAAAUCAAAUAGUGUAUCAAAAAUAUUCUUUUCAUAACUAAUACCAAUAUUACUAAUGUCAACAUUACUAGUUCUUAUUCAACACUAUUUUUAUACAUCCUACCAAACGACUUCGAAAUAUUUUAUUAAAUAACACAUAUAAAUACUUUUGAAUAAUAAUUUUUAUUUACUUAUCAAACACUAAAUAAUUAUUAUUAUUUCCCUAGAAAAAAUUUUAGAAAACAUUUUCAUUUGUACCAAUCACACUUUUUUUUCCCCACUAGAUAUCACCCAUAUUAAAGUCAAACUAUUUUAACUUCGUACCACGACAUAAGACCCCAUUAAAAGAAGAGUAAAUUUCAGAAAUAACAACGAUAAUAAACAUAACAAGACUCUAUAACAAUAAUUUCAGUAAUUGUGCUCUGUAACUAUAGUUUUGUUUGCUAUGUACGCUACAGUUUAUAUAUUUCACUUUCCCGUUUGUAUAUGACCAAAAUAUCCAAUUACGUUCAUUAAUAGAAAAAUAUUAAAUUAGUAAAUUCAAGACUUUUUCAAGUUUGAAAGCAAAGAUUUGUUUUGAGCACCAAGUCUAGUCAUUUAUAGAGAAGUAUCCAAUCUCUAAUUCAAUAUAAAACUACAAAAAUAGUAAAAAAAAUAAAAAUCAAACACCUUCCUAGUUACUUCCAUCAGAACUCUUCAUUUGUGUUUCAAAUAAUGUAUACUUUGGUUUCCACAUAUACGCCUAAGAUUCUUUUUUACCUUUUCAUCCCACUUUUGAUAUCCAUAUUAAAUGAUUAAAUUUUAAUUCAUGUCGAAAAAUUCAACCAUAGUGUGUAAAACCUCGUUAACAAAAACAUUUCACACACAGGAUUCAAAUUCAAAAACUUUAUUUGAAGGAGUUAAUAAUUUCAUACUCAAAACUCGAAUUCGAAAUCUUUUUUUCUGAAAGAGUCGUAACUGUAUACUCAAAACUCAAACUCAAAAGUAGCGAUUUCAUACUUAAGGCUCAAACUCAUAAUUGUUUGUAAGGAGUACUUACGACUGCACCAUUUUUUUUUAAACCGGUUAUAUGCCUAAAAUUCCACGUAAAGGAAGCGGUCAACUAACUCCUUCGAAUUUGUCAUCACCUACUUCACCUUCCUUUCCCCUUUUCUCUUUCAAAUAUCUAUAUAAUCUAAGCUACUUUACCCCAAAUUUUCAACAAAUAGUUCAAUUUUCUUGAUUCAAUCGUCACAAAUCCCAAGAAAACCAAUUCUUGCAAUAUUUUGGGACUUACCCAAGUUCUUGAAUUUGAGUUUUUACAGGACAAAAAAAAAACAGAGCACAAAUAUGAAUAAACUUUUAACAACUUUAUUAUUUUCAUCAAUCUUAAUUUCAACUCUAUUUUCUACUAGUUAUGGUCAGAAUCAAAAUUGCUCUGCUUUUGCAUUCAGAAAUAACCAAAUAUUUGCAACUUGUAAUGCUCUGCCUCUACUAAACUCUGUUCUUCAUUGGAGUUACCAUCCAGAUAACCAUACAGUUGAUCUUGCUUACAGACAUGGAGGUGUACCAAAUACAGAUUGGGUAGCUUGGGGUUUAAAUAUUGACGGAACAAGGAUGGUUGGUUCACAAUGUUUAGUUGCAUUUAGAAAUUCUAGUGGAGAAAUUCAUGCUUAUACUUCCCCUGUUUCUAGUUAUGGAACUCAGUUAGCAGAGGGGGCUUUGAGUUUCAAUGUUCCGAGAAUUGGAGCUGAGUAUUCGAAUAAUGAGUUUAUUAUUUUUGCAACUUUGGAACUUCCUGCUGGAAGGACUAGUUUUAAUCAAGCUUGGCAAAAUGGUGCUGUUUCUGGUCAGGCUUUGACUGCUCAUGUUCAGUCUGGUGAUAAUAUGAGGUCUUUUGGAAGUAUUGAUUUUGCUAAUGGAGAGUUAGGUGGUGGUGGUAGCUCAGUUACUUCUAGACAACGUAGAAGAAAUGUGAGUUUUCGCAUACCCUUUCUUUAUUUCGUUGAAAUUUAAUUUAUAUAUACUGACAGUAGGUAUCGAUUAGAGUUGGUUUGGAUAACAGGCAUGCCUAAAAUUCCACGUAAAGGAAGCGGUCAACUAACUCCUUCGAAUUUGUCAUCACCUACUUCACCUUCCUUUCCCCUUUUCUCUUUCAAAUAUCUAUAUAAUCUAAGCUACUUUACCCCAAAUUUUCAACAAAUAGUUCAAUUUUCUUGAUUCAAUCGUCACAAAUCCCAAGAAAACCAAUUCUUGCAAUAUUUUGGGACUUACCCAAGUUCUUGAAUUUGAGUUUUUGCUGAACAAAAAAAACAGAGCACAAUUAUGGAUAAACUUUUAACUUCAUUAUUUUCAUCAAUCUUGAUUUUAGGUCUAUUUUAUACUAGUUAUGGUCAGAAUCAAAAUUGCUCUGCUUUUGCAUUCAGAAAUAACCAAAUAUUUGCAACUUGUAAUGCUCUGCCUCUACUAAACUCUGUUCUUCAUUGGAGUUACCAUCCAGAUAACCAUACAGUUGAUCUUGCUUACAGACAUGGAGGUGUACCAAAUACAGAUUGGGUAGCUUGGGGUUUAAAUAUUGACGGAACAAGGAUGGUUGGUUCACAAUGUUUAGUUGCAUUUAGAAAUUCUAGUGGAGAAAUUCAUGCUUAUACUUCCCCUGUUUCUAGUUAUGGAACUCAGUUAGCAGAGGGGGCUUUGAGUUUCAAUGUUCCGAGAAUUGGAGCUGAGUAUUCGAAUAAUGAGUUUAUUAUUUUUGCAACUUUGGAACUUCCUGCUGGAAGGACUAGUUUUAAUCAAGCUUGGCAAAAUGGUGCUGUUUCUGGUCAGGCUUUGACUGCUCAUGUUCAGUCUGGUGAUAAUAUGAGGUCUUUUGGAAGUAUUGAUUUUGCUAAUGGAGAGUUAGGUGGUGGUGGUAGCUCAGUUACUUCUAGACAACGUAGAAGAAAUGUGAGUUUUCGCAUACCCUUUCUUUAUUUCGUUGAAAUUUAAUUUAUAUAUACUGACAGUAGGUAUCGAUUAGAGUUGGUUUGGAUAACAGGCACAAAGCAAUUGCUCACUGCUCCGGCUGCCUUCUUGGCAGGUGGAGCGCUUAUCAUCCUGACUUUUCUCUCUUCUCGGACACUCUUAUUGCCAUAGUUAUAGGAAAUGGGAGUAUUGAUUUUUACACUAAUAGUGUUAUUUAAUCUGUUUGUUUCGUACAAGGGGUAAAGAGAUAAUUAAUCAUGAGAUUGAUUUUAGGAUGAGUUUAUUUGCGGGAUAACUUGUUUUCCAACCAAAUGAACCCUUAUAAUAUCAUAACCUAGUUUAAUAGACUCGAUUGAAUUCAUGCAUAACCUAUGAUCUCGAAGGUCCAAUUGAUUCAAUCGUAAGUUGAACUCAUCAAAUUUAAAUUGUGGAAUUGAAUUCUAAUUUUAGGUGAUGUGAUACAACGCGAAAACUACAUACAAAUUGGGGUCAACUAUAUGAAUCCUUGCUGACCAUAUUACUCAUUUUUGUAUACACUACCCCCAACAAAAUAAUUAGAAGCAACAAGGAAUUUGACAUGUUUGAUAUCUUGAAAAUUUGACAGGUUCAUGGAGUAUUGAAUGCAGUAAGUUGGGGAGUGUUAAUGCCAAUGGGAGCAGUAUUUGCAAGGUACUUGAAGGUUUUCAAAGCAGCGAAUCCAGCGUGGUUUUAUAUACAUGUUGCUUGUCAAACUUCUGCCUAUAUUGUUGGCAUUGCUGGAUGGGGAACUGGUCUCAAACUUGGCAGUGAUUCUACGGGUAUCGAAUUCACUACUCACAGGAACAUUGGCAUCACUCUCUUUUGCCUCGGAACUCUUCAGGUAACCAUCUAAACGGCAUUAACUAUAAAUCUUGAAUUCACUUAUGCAAGCACUUGUACACACAUAAAAAUACCGGUCCCUUAAAUAAAGAGCAACAAAAUAUCCCCCUUUUUGGCUUAAUACAUAGGCACCUCCCUCGUACUUGCCCCAUUUUUUUUCAUUUAGACACCUGAACUAAGGAUUAUACCCGACCUUCAUUGUUACUAAUUUGUAUGAUUACAAACUUUGUAGGUAUUUGCUUUGCUUCUGAGGCCAAAGCCAGACCACAAGUACAGAUUAUACUGGAACAUCUACCACCAUGCUGUUGGAUACGCGGUAAUAAGUCUGGCCAUCACCAAUGUUUUCCAAGGAUUUGAUGCAUUGAAUGGACAGAAGAAUUGGAAGAGGGCUUACACUGGUGUGAUCAUAGCCAUAGGUGCCAUUGCUGUUUUAUUAGAAGCCUUUACUUGGUUCAUUGUCAUCAAAAGGAAAAAAACAGACUCUAACAAGCACACACAAAAUGGAACAAAUGGUACUGUUAAUCCUUAUGGAAAUGGGACUCAUCAACAGGCAUAAGUUAACUUAAAUAAUGUCACUUUGAACAUUUUUGUAUGUUUAUAUGUUUUUUGUUGUUUGGUCAGAUUUUGGUUCUUUUUUUCCUUCUUUUUAAUCUUUGCAGAUUGAUAUAUAUUCUUGUAUACAUCAUAUAUGUUGAGAGACCACCUAUUUGUGGUUUUAUUUAUUACUACUAGUAUCCUUUUUUCAUUCACUUUCAAUGUUUGAAUUUAAUUUCUGUACACUAGCAAUAUAACUUGCGAGAAGAGUAACUACUUGAGACAUGCUCAAGUUAAUAGCUUCGAAAUAUAUAAUAAUAAUAAUAAUAACCUACUAUAACUAUUUAAAGUUAUUCGAUAGUGUAAAUUUUUUGUCACCAAGUCCUGAAAACAGCCUCUAGCAGAAAAGUAAGAUAAGACUGCAUACAAUAGACCCUUAUAGUUGGGCCCUUUAUCGUGCUGCCUUUUCGUCAUAAGCAAUCCACAAAAAAAAAGGUUAAAAGAAUUAAUAGUUUGCCAAGUGGCAUACUGUCAUCAGGUUAGAAAAAGAGCAACUUUCACAUAUAACAAAUAUAAAAAUCACAUUUGUAUGUUAUAGCUAUAGUUUGCAUAAUUGCGCCCCAUAGCAAACAUAAAGUGUGCUAUGACUAUUAAUAUGUAUAUUUCGCUAUACAUAUACAAAAGAAGAAAAUGUAUAAUCUGUUUCGGUAUACAUAUACAAAAGAAUCAAUUGCAUAAUUUGUGUUUGUAUAAAACGAGAAAGAGAGAAAGACAAAAGAAACUGGGCAAGGGAAGAUCGUAUUUGUAUAAUCAUAAGUGUAUAGGACGAAAAUAUAUGUAUUUGUAUUUAUAUAUACAAUUUUCUCGCGCUUUAUACAAACACAAACACAUUUUAUAUGUUUGUGUUUGUAUAAAAACGAGAAAGAGAGAAAGACAAAAGAAACUGGGCAAGGGAAGAUCGUAUUUGUAUAAUCAUAAGUGUAUAGGACGAAAAUAUAUGUAUUUGUAUUUGUAUAUACAAUUUUCUCUCGCUUUAUACAAACACAAACACAUUUUAUAUGUUUGUGUUUGUAUAAAAGCGAGAGGGGCGAGUGAGACUGCCCAGCGAAAACGAGAGUGGCGAGCGAGAUUCACCAGGGAGAGAGGCGAAAUAGCAACAGUUUCCUAUGGGGUACAAUUAAAUCAAACUAUGGUUAUAACAUUUAAUUUGAAUUAAUAGUUUGCUAUUAUAUACUAUUUUCCCUUAGAAGAACAUGAAUUAGGUCUUCUAGAAGUUGAGACUUAAAAAAUAAAUUACUCCCUCCAUUUCAAAUUAAUUGAAUUGUUGAGGUGUUUCACACCCUUUAAGAAAAGAAGAUUAAGAUAUAAAUUAGGCAUAACUUUCCAUUUUUACCCUUAUUAAUUAUUGUCAAAUUUGUGAUUAAAAUAACUAAACAUUAAUUAAUAACUAAUUCUAAUACUAACUAAUGAAGGGUAAAAUUGGAAGAACAUUCUAAGAAUAGCUUUGAAGAUUGAAUAAUUAAGUUAAUUUAAAAAAUAAAAAAUAUCUCAACAAUUCAAUUAAUAUGAAAUCGAGGGAGUAAAGAAGUGGAAUAGGAAGAGGCAAAGUUGAGAAGCACUAAUUGCAAAUGCAAGCAAAGUCGUUCUCUAGAAGAAUGCUCCAUUAUUAGUCAAUACCUGAUUUGCCAAUUUUUUUAAAAUCAAGUUGACCUAAUUAGUACGAAAUUAGCAGUACUUUUAUAUUCAGUUUGUUUUUGAAAGAGUUAAAAAGGUCAAAAACACGUUUUAAGCUAUUUCACUUUAUUGAGUUUUAUACAUAACGUAUUGAGAAUAAGAGUUUUCUAUCUGAACUAUCAUCUAAUGAUUAGGAAACACAUUUAGAUGUUGACUAGACCAAAUGUUUGUCUAGAAAUGCUUCUAGCCACAUCUGUCGAUAAAAUUUUCAUCUACCUAACAUAUAUAAUGACUCUCUUUGUUUGGCACGAUAAUUUUUUUAAUCGGCUUUUUUACAAUCUUAAAUUCUCACCUUUCAAGUCGAAGAAAUCAAUGUCACGCCAAAAGAGACCACGGCUAAGAAGGUGGAGAAGAUGAUGGUGGAUGUCAUAGUUAAAAUAAAUUAAAUUAUAUGGUAAUAAUUUUAACCUUUAACCUUAACUUUUAACCUAAUAUUGAUUUAUUUAAAUUUGUCACACAGUGCCCCCAAGGCAAUGGGGCGUCAGUACACAAUAAUGUACAGAGUAUGAAAGGCAAUAGACUAUGAUGAUGAAUACUGAUAUACUGGAAUAAUCUGAUAAAUAAAUCAAGGAUAAGAUAAGGGUACUGACCUGCUCCUAAAUCUAAACCUAUCAAAAAUAAUAAAACAACAAUCUAACUAAGCCCCCAUAAGCUCGGCAGGUACAAACAACACACAAGACCACCUACUCAGGCCCUCAUAAGCCCGGAAGGUGCCAAUCAACCUAUAUACCCCUAUCGGUAGUCCCUUAGUCCCGUAGGCAGUCAUAUAGCCCUCUUAGGCAUUAAUAUAGCCCCAUAGGAAGCAAAUAGCUCUCUCGGGCAUCAACAUAGCUUAUAGACAACUCAUAGCCCUCUUAGGCAACAACAUGGCCCUGUAGGAAGCACAUAGCCUUCUUAGGCGUCAAUAUAGCCCUGUAGGCAACUCAUAGCCCUUCUAAGCAUCAAUAUAGCACUGUAGGCAACUUAUAGCCCUUUUUAGGCAUCCAUAUAGCCCUGUAGGCCGAACAUAGCCCUUCUAGGCAUAGAUCACAUUCCUGCAGCUAACCACAAUAGCCCAAGGGCAGCAAUACAAUCCAAUCGCUAAAGCGAGCAAUUAGUAUAAGUCAACCUAUACAAAUAGCCUCUAAGUCGUGUCCAACAUUAGAGACGCUACUAAUUGAAUAAGAAUCCUGACAAGGGAGGAUUAUAUCAACUCGAGCAGCCAACAAUCAACAAUCACGGCUACAAGUAUAUCAAGGAUAACAACCCAAAUACAUUGCUUCUAAGCUUUAAGGAAACAUGCCGUAAAUAGGGAAUAACCUUAACAUACAUUUUUCAUUGAAUUCACGUGUCCUAAUAACUUUAAUCACAACCCCCCUUGAUACUACAAUAAGGCAAGAUCAUAAUCAACACAAAAAAAUAGAAGAUACAACGAAAAUUCGAUAAAAGAUAUGUAUUUCCGUCGCAAAUUGCUAUUUGCGACUUAUCAAAGCUAGAGUCGAUGAAAGAAGGGUCUUACCUCGAUCUUAAGGUCAUAAUACGCUUCAAAACCUUCAAAUAUAUCCAAACCCUUGCUGUCCCAACACUAAAGUGUGAUAUGCUACGCAAUNNNNNNNNGUUCUUCACUAAGGAAAAUGAAGGAAAAAUGAAGAAAAGUUGAAGAAGAUGAUAUAUAUAAAGUUCCACCGACCUAGGGGACCCACCUCACCUGCCUGCUUACACAGUCUUGCAAAAAUACGAAUAUUUCUCCAUUCUGAAGUCGUAUGAAUGAACGGGUUGAUGCAUUUGGAAACUAGACUCGUAGACCUUCGAUUUCAUAGGUCGCGAGGACCAUAACUCUUAAUAGAUUGGGAGAAAACGUCCGAGAUAUUUGACCCAAAUUUCAGACAAAUCUUUAAAAAGGAAUUUACGGUAACUUUCGCCAACUUUUAUUUUGUCACUUACCUAACUUCAAAACUUGAGAUACAACACUUAAACACUUAAAAUAUCACAUAAAACAUCAUUCUUAAUUUAUUACCCACCCUAAUGGUCUUUUCACGAAGAUACGAGUCAAUUUAUACGUUUCGAAAAGUCGGGUUGUUACACCAAUUUUCGUGCCCUUUCCAGAUCCUUUAGCUGGCUUCUGCAGAAACUUCAAAUUGAAAAAAUUGAUGUCACACGAAGAAGAUGACAUAGUUUUGUGGAUCACCAUUGUGACCGAACCAAGCUUCAAAAAAGUAGUCUCAUGCGUUGGAUUUUUUAAAUUUUAUAACUCAAGUUCAUCCUUUGAAUUUUAUUUUCUUUUAUCACGGUGUGAAAAUAAUGGAAAGAAAAAGCGAUUUGUUGUUAACAAAGCAAAUUCUUUGCUGAUUGAGAAAAUGUUUGUUGCAGAAUUAAGUGAGAAAGAAAGAGAUGAGAGAGGAGAGAGAAAGAGAAAUAGUAAUAACCAUGGUUAAUGAUAUUUGACCAUGAUUUAAAGACCGCUUUAUUUAAAUAAAUAUGGAUUUUAAAAUUUACAAAUGUCACUAAAUUAAAUAUGCGCUGGACUAACCGAAAAGAUUAGGUUAGAAGAAACAUCAAUUGGGCCUUCUAGAAAAUUGAAACUUAAAAAACAAAUUAAAGAAGUGGAAUAGGAAGAGGCAAAGUUGAGAAGCACUAGUUACAAAUGCAAGCAAAGUCGCUCUCUAGAAGAAUGCUCCAUUGUUAGUCAAUACCUAAUUUGCCAAAAUAUAUUAAUCAAGUUGACUUAAUUAGUACGAAAUUAGCAGUACUAUUUAUAUUCAGAUUGUUUUUGAAAGAGUUAAAAGGAUAAAAACACGUCUUAGGCAAUUUCAUUAAAAAUUAAUCGAGGUGUGUUUCACUAAUUAUAUAGUGAUAGUUCAGAUAAGAAACUCACACUUAGUAAUUUAAGUAUAAAAAACUCAAAAAAUUCGAAUAGUUAAAGUGCUUUUAACUCUUAAAUCUUAAAAGGAAAAAUUCAAAUUCAACAUGAUGAAUACUAUAUUUUUAUACUAAUAAUGUGUGCGAGUGUGGGAGUACCUCGGUGGAGGACAAAACUUAGAAAGUGAGGCAGAAAUUGAAAAUAAUUUGAAUAUGUAAAGAGUAGAUGUACAAAUGCUUCUUAUGCAGAGGUGUGAGUAUGAAAGAGGUUGACUAUGAAUGAAUUUAGGAGAGGAGUGGGUAGAUCGAAGAAGUAUUGGAGAGAGGUAAUUAGACAGAAUAUGAUACAAUUUUAACUUAUCAAAAACAUGACCUUAAAUAAGAGGUUGUAAAGUACACAAAUUAGAGUGGAAGAUUAGUAGAUAAUAGCGCGUUUGUCUUACUUAUCUUUUCAUAGUAGGAGUCGUACAUAAUAUUACUUUUGUAGUUUCCUAUCCUUUUAAUUAUGUUAGUAUUUGAUUUUCUUGUACUUCGGUAAUGUUAUACUUAUUGUUUCUUUCUUCUUCUUUUUUCUAGAAUAUUUUGACAUGCUUUUGAUAGUAUUGUACCAUGAUUUCUUCAUUACUAUUUUUUUUUGUUGAUUUGCUUUUAAAAUAUAUAUAUUUUUUAAGUCAAAGGUCUAUUAAAAAUAAUUUUUCUACCUUUCAAGGUAGGGCUAAAGUUUGUUACAAGGCAACGACUAAUGCAAGCAAUAAUAACAAAAAGAAAGCAACACAAGUUCUUAUAAAAGACAACUUUUCUCAUUUUUAGUUGACCAAAAUGUGAUAUUAAAAACAAGUCCAGGAAAGUAUUUAUAACUAAUGCUUGACAAACAAUAAUAUUGGUAAUGCAAAUUUUUUUUAAUGCAUGCAUACACAUGGUUAAAGACAUUAUUGUUCCUUAAAAAAAAAAUUCACUUUCUUUCCAUUGUAUUUUUAUAAAUGAACUAAAGUAUUAAAAAUUAUGUAAUACAUAGUAUUUUUAAUUAAUACACCAAAACAAAUAGGGUAUAAAAAAUAUUCUUUUCAUAACUAAUACCAAUAUUAUUAAUGUCAACAUUACUAGUUCUUAUUCAACACUAUUUUUAUACAUCCUACCAAACGACUUCGAAGUAUUUUAUUAGAUGACACAUAUAAAUACUUUUAAAUAAUAAUUUUUUAUUUACUUAUCAAACACUAAAUAAUAAUUACUAUUUCCCUAUAAAAGUUUUUAGAAAACUUUUUCCUUUGCAGUCACACUUUUUUUUUGUUACUAUUUUAAAUUCGUGCCACCACAUAAGACCCCAUUAAAUGAAGAGUAAAUUUUAGAAAUAAAAACGAUAAUAAGCAUAAUAAGACUCUAUAACAAUAUUUUUGGUAAUUGCGCUUCAUAACUAUAAUUGUGUUUGCUAUGUAGGUUGCCGUUUGUAUAUUUCGUUUGCCCAUUACAAACAUGAUAAGUAUAUACAAAUGGAUGAUGUGGUUCGUAUAUUUCGCUUGCGAAUAUACAAACAAGAUAAGUAUAUACAAAUUCUAUAUUUAUACAUAUAUGAAUUUUUCAAAACUCCAUUUAUAUAUUUCGCUUGCCAAUAUACAAAUAAGUAAUUUAUUAUGAAUUUUUUAUAUACAGUAUACAAAUAGCUAAUAUUAGCAUAUACAAAUUCUGAAUUUGACCCGCCCAAGUGAAAUAUGAGGAAACAAAAGCUCCACCACAGAAAUCACUAGACCCACAGCAAGAUCAUUACCCAAAAGCAGCAGCUCAAAUGAAGUACGUUGGCGCUCUGGGGAAAACAAUGGCGUUAUCACUAUCUUCACGCUCUCUCUUCACUUCCUCCUAUAAAUCCCUUUCUCCUCUCAAAAACCCCUUUUCUUCCUUCCCAAUUCGACAAUAUCGUAUUCUUUUUGUUCUUGAUCCCUGCAAGUACAACAACAAAACUACUAGGUACAAGUUGCCAAGACGUCGUAGUUCUUUCUCUACCCAUGCUUCCGCCGCCCUACAAGAAGCUCCUGCCCCAAAUGAGAAAAUUGUUCUCCCAACUAACGAGUCAUCCGAUGGGCUCCUUCGAAUUCGCCAUACGGUAAUGUUAAUAUUGGGAAAUUGGGAUGGGUUUAUGGGUAUUGAUGAAAUUGAAUUGUUUCCAGUUUUAUUGUCGUUAAAUUUGAAAAUAUUAAGUGGGUUGAUUACAGAAAUUAGUAAUGCUUAGUAAAUUGUUGCUCAUUUUAAUAUCACUCAAAAUGCUGUUUUUAUACUGUUUUCUAGAUUACAGAAAGCUAAUGUUCUUGCGCCUAAAGACAUUUAUUGUGUUGAAGUAUUCUCCUUGUACAUUUGUUGGAUUUGGGAAGUUUGAUUUUUUUUUAUAAACGUGGUGUCCAGGCCAGCUUGUGUGCACCUUGACUAAUAUCAUAGGUAACUUUGUAUACCAAUGUUAGAAUAGAUGGAAAGAAAUCAGCUAAUGUUGAUUUGGGAAGUUUUUUUCUUUUAUGAUACUCUAUUAAUGUUGUUGGAGAUGAGGUUUGUUUUGUCUGUUGCUUGUUUUUAGCGAGGACUGGCGUGUUUACUGGUUCAUUAUGUAGAAUGCUGAGUUUUUAUAUUUUAAAUGUGACCAGUAGAUUUUAGUAAUAUAAAUUACCAUUCUGAGGGUGGGUUGAUGUGUUUCUUGCUGCAGUGUGCUCAUGUUAUGGCCAUGGCAGUCCAAAAACUCUACCCGAAUGCAAAAGUGACAAUUGGACCCUGGAUUGAUAAUGGUUUUUAUUAUGAUUUUGAUAUGGAGCCUUUGACUGACAGGGACCUGAAGAGGAUUAAGAAGGAAAUGGUAAGCUAACUUGUGCUUUUUAGUGAUUGUUAGAAAGUUACUCCUUAGUAGUCCCUCUGCCUCCCCACAAGGAUCCACCCCCCUAAAACAAGAAUUAAAAAAUAGUUUGAUCUUGUCAAUGAAGCUUGGAUUUUUGGUUAGAGAAUUUACAUCUUAAAUUUUCUCUAGGAUCGAAUUAUCAGCCGAAACUUGCCUCUUGUUAGAGAAGAAGUUAGCCGGGAGGAAGCUCAGAGAAGAAUAAUGUCUAUCAAUGAACCUUACAAGAUAGAAAUUUUAGAGAGCAUAAAGGAGGAACCAAUUACGAUAUAUCAUAUUGGUAAGACUUCGAUUAAUUGCUUUUGUUUAGUUUGAGAAACUUACUACAGCAUACUUAGUGUAAUCCCACAAGUUUGGGGAACUUGAAUAUAAAAUAUUACUUUAGAAUAUUGUCCAUGUUUUCUAACUAAGACGAUAUGAAUUUUUACUUUUUGAUUGUAUAUGACUCAUAAAUGAGAAUGAUCAUGGGGAGUUAAUUUGAGAACCAUAAACCCUAUAUAUUUCAGGACUAUACCCGGUGACUCGUUGAAAUGAGUAUCUUACGUCAUCAGAUUGAUCUCAAUAGAAGAUUGUGGUAUUCCACUUGAGCAUUUUGAGUGUAUGAACCUUAUCUAUUUCUUGAGGAUCUACUAUUAUACAUGUUGACGUUAACUUAGUAGCUGUCUUGAUGUCAUUGUUAUUUAACAAAUGAUCAUAUGGUAGAGUGCUAGACUAAUUCGUGGAGGAAAAUUUUUGGUCUUUGCUGCUAAUUACAUCCUUCCUGAAAGUGUUUCAAGUGGAAUUCUCAGUACCCACCCUAGUUAUUGCUGCAGGUUGUUCUGAAUAUAUCAUUCUUUUGUUGAAUUAUAUAGUUACUUCUUAAUAUUGCUAAAACAUCAGGUUAAAAUUAUUUUCAUGUCAAGUAUUAUUUUUCAUUAUGUUCUGUGCUAAAUUCACUUAUACUUGUAACCAAGUCAAAUAUUUUUCACUUUGAGGGAAUUUCAUUUCUCGAUAUAGAAACUUACGGUUGUGGAGGGCCAAAUUGAUAUCAUGGGAAGUGUUCCCUGAACAGGUAAGUGAAGUUUCGGGGUUCCAUCACAAAGGCUGUUAAGAAAGAUAUUGGCUCACUUUAUGUCAUAAUGCACGAAUUGAAUCUAGUGCUUAGAUGGGAAGAUGUACCAUACUGAUAUUGUAAGAGUACAAUGAGUUCUGCAAGUUAAGUUGUUAUUAAUAUGUUAGUGCUAAAAAGAAAGGGAAACUGAAUCUUGCACCUGGACGCCAGAUGACUUGAACCUGGCUGGACCCUAGAUAGUUGAUUUGUAGCAAAAUCUUACUUCUAAUAUUCCUGAACUUCCACCUCUUACUAAAACAUUGCCAUUGAAGCCUUAUACCCCACCCUGGAAGCUUUAACAAUUUUGCAGAGGUCUGAGGUGUGAGAAUAUGAGUCGGUAAGAUUAGAGUCAGCCAAAUCAACUCUCUGGGAUCUGGUCUCAAUCCUUGUGGUACCAGAUCCGAGUCAUUAGUCCUUCCUGUGCAAGAAUCAAGCUUACAUGCUGUUAUUGGUGCUAACAAUUAUUGUUACUAAAAUACUUUUCAACUAAAAAGUGCUUCAGAAAAUGUUGAGAAAAUGUAGAAUAGGUGAACUUACUUAAAGAAUUUACCAGCUGCUUCUCUAGAACAUCAUUUUUACAGCAUUAUUUUAUAUAUAGUUGACAGAGUAGGAUCGAUCGAAGAAGGGAUUAAGACUUCUUAGAGGUGGACAAAGAAGGUUAAGCUUAGACUUUUCUAGCUAAAAUUAUCCAACAAAAUGUAGGUCUUCAGCCAAUAUUUGCAUAUCCAUCGUUUAUAAACUAUAAAGCACCCACGAAAGCUUCAUCUCGUAUUUUGCAGAACUUGAUCUGAUUGUAGAAACAUCCACAUAAACCUAUUGCUUUAACAACAAAGUAUAUUUUACUUUUUCUCAUGGUCAAAUGCUUUCUUUUCGUAGGUGAUGAAUGGUGGGAUCUUUGUGCGGGACCUCAUGUUGAAACUACAGGAAAGAUUAACAAAAAAGCUAUUGAGCUUGAAUCUGUUGCUGGUGCUUACUGGAGAGGAGAUGUAAAGAAACCAAUGCUCCAAAGGAUUUAUGGCACUGCAUGGGAGAAUGAGGACCAAUUAAAAGCAUACCUUCAUUUCAAAGAAGAAGCUAAACGGCGUGAUCACCGGCGAAUUGGCCAAGAUCUUGAUCUCUUUUCCAUACAGGCAGGUAUCUCUUUGAUUAACCCAUUUAUGAGACUUAUGAUGUAUAUAUACCCUUUUUUACGGAAUGAAAUUCAAUAACUUCUUUUUUGUUGUUGCAUAUGCUUGAAUUGAAACUAAAAUUGAUUGUAAAACUGGCAGGAUGAAGCUGGUGGAGGCUUAGUCUUCUGGCAUCCCAAGGGAGCUAUCAUUAGGCACAUAAUAGAAGAUACUUGGAAAAAGAUUCAUAUGGAGCGGGGCUACGAUUUGCUCUAUACUCCCCAUGUAGCGAAGGCAGAUCUUUGGAAGAUUAGUGGUCAUCUGGACUUCUACAAAGAGAAUAUGUUUGAUCAGAUGGAGAUUGAGGAAGAGCUUUUUCAGCUACGGCCAAUGAACUGCCCUUAUCAUGUAUUGAUCUAUAAGAGGCAGUUACACUCUUAUCGGGAUUUUCCGAUCAGAGUUGCAGAGUUGGGAACAGUGUAUAGGUAUGAGUUAUCUGGAAGCUUACAUGGGCUUUUCCGUGUAAGAGGUUUUACUCAGGUACGUUCCAAGCGUAAAAAUUUUAUUUACAUAAAGUCUCAACAUCUGUAUCCUUGAUUAGAACUAUCAUCCCUAAAAGGGAGCGGUUAUUGCAUCAAUUGUCUGAAAGAGAAGGAAUGAAGGGUGGUAACAAUGGGUCUUGCAUUUUAUUUGUGUUUUCCUGUGCAGUAACCACUAACCACAAUGACCUAUGUCUUAUGCAACAAUUAAUAUGAAUAAAUGAAGAUGGAUUUUCUAGAAGCCCAUUGUUGUGGAGCACAAACAUACUUGCUGUAGUUGAUAUAAGUGGUCUUUUUUCUCCUCUUGGAGGGCUAGAUUUUGUCUUGGUCUGCUUUGGGUUCUCUGGGACAUAGAGAACAUACCUAAUGUUGUUGAACAAAUCAGUACGUUCUCUCUUUAGGGGUUUAGUUUACCAUUGAG
rnacentral:lncRNA from 1 species